AGCAGAGCAAGAGGGAGAGCUGCGCAGCGCCUCUUGUUGUGAUGCCUUCACAGCGAUGCACUAUGAGGGACGGAAGGGAGCCCUUACGGAGCCCCUUCCGUCCCUCAUCCUACUUCGCUGGGAAGCCAGCAGACCAAGAGCCGCUGCGCAGCUCUCCCUCUUGCUCUGCU